GGCAUUGUUAGUAAUUCCUAAGAAUUCUACACUUUCACCCAUUCCCGAUUCUUUGUGCUUAGAAGAGAAGGGCAGCCCUGCUACAAGGAGUAGCAAAACGAGGAUUGAUCAUGGUGAAACAAAAUUACAAAAGCAGCCUACUUGAGAUUCGAACAGAAUUGAGUCAUCAUCUGCAUUUGAAGGCAACACAUUUAUCUUAGAAAAAGAACUACACAAGCAAUACAUGAAGUCGAAUUUGUUAAAACGUUGUCGUAAAGGGCAUGAGAAGCAUAACACGCAAGACUGCUCCAACGUUACAAAAAAAAGGAAGGAAUACUCUGCAAGUGCAUGUGAAAGCAAUUUGAAUGAGAGUGCAACAGAAAAUAGUGGUGUCUUCUCAAGUGCUGGUCCAUCAACUAAGUUAUUUGGUGAGAUGCAAGACAAACCCAAUGUUACA